UACAGGGGGGGCAAGCGUUGUUCGGAAUUACUGGGCGUAAAGGGCUCGUAGGCGGCCGGCUAAGUCCGACGUGAAAUCCCCAGGCUUAACCUGGGAACUGCAUCCGAUACUGGAUGGCUUGAAUCCGGGAGAGGGAUGCAGAAUUCCAGGUGUAGCGGUGAAAUGCGUAGAUAUCUGGAGGAAUACCGGUGGCGAAGGCGGCAUCCUGGACCGGCAUUGACGCUGAGUGAGCGAAAGCUAGGGGAGCAAACGGG
rnacentral:rRNA from 1 species